rnacentral:rRNA from 1 species
GGUUGCGAUCAUACCCGCACUAAUGCAACGGAUCCCAUCAGAAUUUCGCAGUUAAGCGUGCUUGAGCAAGCAUAGUACUAGGAUGGGUGACCCUCUGGGAAGUCCUCGUGUUGCAACCC